rnacentral:lncRNA from 1 species
UGAUGGGAUGGAGUCAGAGCAGGGUUUCACAGUCACUUGCCUUUAAUCACCCAUCACUUCCACAUGCUGAUGCUUUCAAGCUUCCCUGGGAGAAGCAGUGUGGAAAGGUUCAAUGUUCCCUUUAAGCGACUCUGACUACAAGAGUAACUGCAGAAGAACACAAUUCCUUACCCAGCAGACUUGUUCAGCUGAAUGCACUGUUUGUCUGGGCAUAGCUCAGUGAGCUUUGUUUCAUGUUCUUCUUUUCCUGUGUUACAUUCUGUAGGUUGUACAGGGUAUUAAUGGAGACUUGGCACAGGGAGCAUCAGUGCUGUGCUUUGCCAGAGGAACAGAGGGCCUCGUAAUGCUUCUGAUCCCAGCAAGCUGAUUAGAAACAUCCUAAACAUCCUCUGAAACAUCUUGUUGAGUGUCACAACGCCACGGACAGGCAAGGGGACAAGCUGUUCUUGAAAACUCACAAAGUUGUGUUUUCAUUAAGAUCCGUCCCACGUGUCUUUGUGAGCUUCCAGCAAAGCCAGACUUGGAAAAACGGAGAUGCCUGCCGGUUUCUGGAUAGAGUUACGAGACGCCACGAGCAAGAAACUGUGAGGGUGGUCAGCUCUGCCAGCCUCUGAAUACGGAUGAGCGUGUCUGUGACCAGAUCUUUCACAGGAUGUAAGCUCUGAAUUCUUCCUGGGGAUGGGGGAGUGCAGGUGGGAGCCACUCUGCCCCAGUGGGACGUUACAAAGCUGCAGUGACUCGCAGCAGCUCCAGCUCAGUGUUUGGACUCCCUGCAGUCACCUUGAAAACUUCUACCGACAUUGAAACCAGGAAGCCAAAAAGCUGGUGGAAGUCCUGCGAGGUGAUUGCCUUUGCUAUCAGCAGAGUUGCACUGCGUGCACGGGAUGCAGCCAUCUCAAUUAGUUGUCAACCCCAGCAGCGUGUCCAAAUAAUGUUUAUGACCUGUUCGUCCAAUAAACUCCAAAGGAGAAGAGCAGUAAGUUCCUUCAGAGAGAUAAGUGCAUCGCUGUGGAUUUCCAUGGAAGCACAACUGCAAAGGUGCUGUGUGUCAAAGCGAAGCAGCUUUGCCAGCUGCCUCCCUCCCUGUUCUGCUUGGAGGUACCACAGCAGUGCUCAGGUUUGUCUCCUUUGCAUUGAUGCUGAAGGGAAGAGAUGGGGCUGGGAGGACGCGGGUUGCCCAGUGGUCGCAUCCCCUCCGCU